AGCCGCCACUCAAGACAGAGCCAUGGCUGGGGGUUGUUGUUUCAAUGAUUAUGCCCUAUUCUUCUCUCAACUGUGCCUGGGUUUUUCACAGCAGCUGCAGGAGUCAAUCUGCCAACAAGGAGGGAUGCCAGGAGGGCAUCUUACAAUAGAGCCGACAUUCUAUGGACAGAGGCCUUGAGAUCUGGCACGUUUGUCUUUGGGAGGGGGGCGAGAGGGAGAGUGAAUACGAAAAGCUUUAUCUCACCUCUUAUCUCCCAUGUCGAAGCUGCCCAAACCUCUACUAGGACCAAGAAAUCAUGCAACAGGAACGCAAGGCUUUAUGGAAUUUUCCGCAGCCUUCAGCUGCAAGGCAUGGAUCAGAUUUCUUUAUCCUAUAUAUACAGAAGAAUUCCCAUAGCUCCCCCUGCAACGUGCUUCCAAGCAAAGGCGUAGGAUGGGGAAGACAUUUAUUAACACAACAGCAAUCUCUUUCUCUCUGUGAAAACAAGAAACUACAAACCAAGCUGUCCCUGAAGACCCACUGAAUCAGACUCUGCUUCUGAAGAAGAGGAAGUGUGUGCUGCUUAACUGGUGAAGCAGAUGAGAGGGAGCAGGUGGCACGUGCAAGUCUCUUAGAUGCCAGGGCCGGUGCCAAGAAAAACAUUUCCUUGUAGCUUCAUCCACAGUGCAAGGCCAGCAGGCCAGGACAACUCCAAGCAUUUCCUCUCAACAAACCAGGGAUAUCCGUGAACAAAAUCACUUUUCCCACUAAAGAGGAGUCGUUGUUUUUCCUUGGACAGAGAAGCAAGAAAGCAGCUUUCUGAAGCCUCUACUGAGAUUCCAUCUUCUCCCCAACCAUUGACAGUUCAAGGAGCCUCAUCUUCUUUCGCCUCUGGUUACCACCACAGAUUGUACAGUCUGGCAUCAGCAACCCAAUUUAGUUCAGCCUAAUUAAAUGUAAUUGAUAUCAAUGACUGGUGUCAUCUCUUCUGGAUGUCCUGGCAAAAUGCAGCCUCACUUGCUAAUUACUUUUAACAUGAUUUUAUGAAGGGGAACCUGGACGGAACAGAACAAAGAUGCCUUUUAAAGUAUCCCAGUCCACUGCCUCAUUAUUAUUCAUUAAAUCUCAUGCUGGUAACAUCCAACAGUCUCUGUUUUCUUGCUAAGCAUGUGUUAAGUCUACUCCGUCUGGUUCUUGUGAUCUUACAUGAAAAAUGCUCUCCUGCCCACCCACCCCACCCGCUUCUUCUCUAUCUCCAACAUGGUUGGUUGCCCUAAUGAGCAUUUCUAGCCCAAGCUCCAUGGCCGCCUUCAGUUCACUCACCACCUGCUUUUCCUUGUUUUCUUUCCUAGCCACUAAUUACAGACCAGAGUCAAUUCCUAAUGAAGCCGUUUGAUUUCCUGUUUUUCUGUACUUCUUGAGCCACUUAAAGCACCAACCUCACAUAAAAGGAACCCUUUCUAAACAGAUUUGAAAUUAAUUACCACAACCUUGGUGCUGAUGGUUGCUAUGCGCAAGUGAGUGUGUGUGUUUUUUUCCAGGGCUGCAUUUCUCAUUUAAUGUUCCGCAUGAAACAAAUUCUCCAUGUACUCCAUGUUCUCUGUUCCUCCUGCAAUCACUGUCCUGAAUUAGAAAUUCUCGGUCAGGAAGCAGUUAGCUCCAGAAACACUCUGUGUCUCGGGCUGAGAAGGGAAGGCCGGUGAUGUCAUAAGGGACCGGACUGUGAGAAAAAGAUGGAGCACAAAUAAGGAGGGAAAUGUUCUGACAUCCGUCGUAAAAGAUGCAAGAUAAACACUGGCUGUGAAUGGCCCAGGCCAGCUUCCAAAGAUCCAGCUCAUACAGGAAUAAGAACAAUGUUAAAGCCUUUAUAUACCGCCUCUUUUUUGACUCAUGGUUCCCCAAAAGCUCAGAAAUAAUUUGUCAUAGUAUUACUUGUAAUGAAUUCCAUAGUGUAUCAUAAGUAAGAUGCAUUAUGACUGUAACAGUACUUGGAAAUGUUAAGUUUUGUACAAUAAAGUAACUUUUCUAAGCUCUGAUACAA